rnacentral:misc_RNA from 1 species
GAUGAAGAACGCAGCGAAAUGCGAUAAGUAAUGUGAAUUGCAGAAUUCAGUGAAUCAUCGAAUCUUUGAACGCACAUUGCGCCCGCCAGUAUUCUGGCGGGCAUGCCUGUUCGAGCGUCAUUUCAACCAUCAAGCCCCAGGCUUGUGUUGGGGACCUGCAGCUGCCGCAGGCCCUGAAAACCAGUGGCGGGCUCGCUGUCACACCGGGCGUAGUAGAUUUUAUCUCGCUCAGGGCGUGCUGCGGGUUCCGGCCGUUAAAAAGCCUUUUUUACCCAAGGUUGACCUCGGAUCAGGUAGGAAGACCCGCUGAACUUAAGCAUAUCAAUAAGCGGAGGA